rnacentral:rRNA from 1 species
AACGUAGGAGACAAACGUUAUCCGGAGUUACUGGGCGUAAAGGGCGUGUAGGUGGUUUUGUAAGUCUGGCGUGAAAUUUUUCGGCUUAACCGGGAAAGGUCGUCGGAUACUGCAAGGCUAGAGGACGGUAGAGGCGUGUGGAAUUCCGGGUGUAGUGGUGAAAUUCGUAGAUAUCGGGAGGAACACCAGUGGCGAAGGCGGCGAUCUGGGAAGAUACUGACGCUGAGGUGCGAAAGCGUGGGGAGCAAACAGG